GACGAAGGGGCUAGCGUUGUUCGGAAUUACUGGGCGUAAGCGCGUGUAGGCGGUUGUUCAAGUCAGGUGUGAAAGCCUUGAGCUCAACUCAAGAAAUGCACUUGAUACUGGAUAACUAGAGGACCGGAGAGGAUAGUGGAAUUCCCAGUGUAGUGGUGAAAUACGUAGAGAUUGGGAAGAACACCAGUGGCGAAGGCGGCUAUCUGGACGGUUUCUGACGCUAAGACGCGAAAGCGUGGGGAGCAAACAGG
rnacentral:rRNA from 1 species